rnacentral:rRNA from 1 species
GAUGAACGCUGGCGGCGUGCUUAACACAUGCAAGUCGAGCGAACGGACGCGGAGCUUGCUUCUUUGAUGUUUGCGGCGGACGGGUGUGUAACACGUGGAUACACUACCUAUAUGACUGGGAUAACUUCGGGAAACCGGAGCUAAUACCGGAUAAUAUUUUGAACCGCAUGGUUCAAAAGUGAAAGGCGGUCUUGCUGUCACUUAUAGAUGGAUCCGAGCUGCAUUAGCUAGUUGGUAAGGUAACGGCUUACCAAGGCAACGAUGCAUAGCCGACCAGAGAGGGAGAGCGGCCACACUGGAACGGAGACACGGUCCAGUCGCCUACGGGAGACAGCAGUAGGAAAUCUUGCGCAAGGGGCGAGAGCCUGACGGAGAAACGGCGCGAGAGUGAUGAAGGUCCGCGGAGCGUAGAACUCUGGUAUUAGGGAAGAACAUAUGUGUAGGUUACUGUGAAGAGUUUGACGGUACCGAAUCAAAAAGCCACGGCUAACAACGU